rnacentral:rRNA from 1 species
AUUGAACGCUGGCGGCAGGCUUAACACAUGCAAGUCGAACGAGUGGCGGACGGGUGAGUAAUGCCUGGGAAUCUGCCUGAUGGAGGGGGAUAACUACGGGAAACGGUAGCUAAUACCGCAUACCAUCAGAUGAGCCCAGAUGGGAUUAGGUAGUUGGUGGGGUAAAGGCUCACCAAGGCGACGAUCCCUAGCUGGUCUGAGAGGAUGACCAGCCACACUGGGACUGAGACACGGCCCAGACUCCUACGGGAGGCAGCAGUGGGGAAUAUUGCGCAAUGGGGGCAAGCCUGAUGCAGCCAUGCCGCGUGAAUGAAGAAGGCCUUCGGGUUGUAAAGCACUUUAAGUUGGGAGGCGUUACCAACAGAAUAAGCACCGGCUAACUUCGUGCCAGCAGCCGCGGUAAUUC